CUCGAGCACUUGGACUUCAACUACCAGCAGGCCAUGCAGCAUCACGCCCUUGCCUCUGGCGUAGGAACUGCAAGAUCCAGCAUGCAUUGCGGCCCUCCUUCCUCGCACUCAGGACCAAGAUAGAGCCAACCCAAGCCUCACUUUGAUUUAAAAAAAAAAAAAAAAAAAAAGCCAGGAUGCCUUAGAAAGUAAGGAAAGAGAAGAAGAGUCCCUGCCUGGUAAUCCAUAGAAUUCUUCCAGAUCUUAUCCAAGACCACCAAGGUGGUACAUCUAUGAGUCUGCAAGAACCACAGCAUUACCGGGCUUGGGGUACCACCUAAUGCAGAUAUGACUGCAGUGACCAAAAACUUAGAUUACAACACACAAGUCCUUUUAAAUACCUGGAAAGCCAUCCCAAAAAGGACUGGUACAGACAAGCCCAAACUGCAAAGACUAUAAUAAAUACCUAACUCUUCAAUGCCCAAAUAAUGACAAACAUCCACAGGAAUCA
rnacentral:lncRNA from 10 species